UAUCAGGUAGUAGUGGGUGUAAUGUACCUACUAGCCAGCGACGGGUACGGGUUGUGAGAGCAAGAGCCCGGAGAUGGAUUCUGAGACAUGAAUCCAGGCCCUACGGGGCGCAGCAGGCGCGAAAACUUUACAAUGCGGGAAACCGUGAUAAGGGGACACCGAGUGCCAGCAUCAUAUGCUGGCUGUCCGGAUGUGUAAAAUACAUCCGUUAGCAAGGGCCGGGCAAGACCGGUGCCAGCCGCCGCGGUAACACCGGCGGCCCGAGUGGUGAUCGUGAUUAUUGGGUCUAAAGGGUCCGUAGCCGGUUUGGUCAGUCCUCCGGGAAAUCUGAUAGCUCAACUAUUAGGCUUUCGGGGGAUACUGCCAGACUUGGAACCGGGAGAGGUAAGAGGUACUACAGGGGUAGGAGUGAAAUCUUGUAAUCCCUGUGGGACCACCUGUGGCGAAGGCGUCUUACCAGAACGGGUUCGACGGUGAGGGACGAAAGCUGGGGGCACGAACCGGAUUAGAUACCCGGGUAGUCCCAGCCGUAAACGAUGCUCGCUAGGUGUCAGGCAUGGCGCGACCGUGUCUGGUGCCGCAGGGAAGCCGUGAAGCGAGCCACCUGGGAAGUACGGCCGCAAGGCUGAAACUUAAAGGAAUUGGCGGGGGAGCACAACAACGGGUGGAGCCUGCGGUUUAAUUGGACUCAACGCCGGACAACUCACCGGGGGCGACAGCAAUAUGUAGGCCAAGCUGAAGACUUUGCCUGAAUCGCUGAGAGGAGGUGCAUGGCCGUCGCCAGUUCGUACUGUGAAGCAUCCUGUUAAGUCAGGCAACGAGCGAGACCCGUGCCCACUGUUACCAGCAUGUCCUCCGGGACGAUGGGUACUCUGUGGGGACCGCCGAUGUUAAAUCGGAGGAAGGUGCGGGCCACGGUAGGUCAGUAUGCCCCGAAUCUCCCGGGCUACACGCGGGCUACAAUGGAUGGGACAAUGGGUCCCUCCCCUGAAAAGGGCUGGUAAUCUCACAAACCCAUUCGUAGUUCGGAUCGAGGGCUGUAACUCGCCCUCGUGAAGCUGGAAUCCGUAGU
rnacentral:rRNA from 1 species